rnacentral:lncRNA from 1 species
AAUGAAUAUCCAUGUGGGGUAGGCUUAUCCCCACACAUAGACACUCAUUCGGCAUUUGAUGAACUCAUCUUCAGCCUUUCAACAGCUGGUCCAUGCAUUAUGGAAUUUAGGAGAUAUCCUGAAGGGACUUGGUGCCAUCCAACUGCAUCUGUUAAUGAAAUACAUGAAGACACCCCUCUUUUAUCCUCGUAUAUUACUAGAAAAGCUAUUUUUCUUCCUCCUCGUUCUAUGCUCUUGAUGUCUGGGGAAGGGCGUUAUGCUUGGCAUCAUUAUAUUCCACAUCGCAAGGUAUGCCUUUUAUAGUAGCUCUUGACAAAUCCAAACAUGCUAGCAUAUUAUUGACUUUGUCGAAGAAGGUACUCUAUUUGAAUCAUGAUAGAGAUCUCAUUUUGAGACAUUUUCUCAUCAUAUUCGAAUUAUUUAGUGUAAUUAAAAAAGGAACCUCGUUUUAAGAAUCUCAUAUUUCAUUCAUUGAAUGUUUGUUGUCCCUUUUUCAUUGACAUUAUUUGCCCUACAACAAGAAGAUAAUAAUAAAAUAUUGAGGUCUCAACUACUUGGGCAUUUCUGUUGUUUUUCAAAAAAAAAUCUUUGGUCUUCAACUAUGUUUCCUUGCACCAAAUGCUUUAAUUUGGAUCUAUGGAUCACUGCAGUCUGAUAGUGAUAGAGCAUUAUGUUGGCCAGACACCGAUAUGGUUCAAGAUAGAAAUUACCACUCAUUAAGCUCACUAUGUCAGGCUUACCGGGCGAUAAGUGAUUGGUACCAGUUUUACUAUUUGGUAUGCCUAUUGCCUGUUACUGGUAUUGUAUCUUUCUCUAUUUUUAAAUUUUAUUUCAAGUUGACAGUUGUCAGUAGUUGCUUUUUCUUAUAUUUCUUUCUAUUUCUCCUCCAUUGCCUCCGUUUCCUCCACCUCAUCUUCUCCUCCUCUUACUUUGCCUCCUGUUCUCCUCCUCCUCAUCCACAUUGCCAUCACUGCCUCUUCUUCUCCAUAUCACCGUUAUUGCCUUCUCAUACCGGUAUGUGUCGCGUCCUCUUUUCUUCUCUUUGUCUAAUUUGGUUGUAUGCCAAUUUAUGCUAGUAUUGUAUUGAUCCGGCCACAGAUUGGUAUCAGUUUGGAACCUAUAUUCUAAACCAUGUGUUGCAUCAUUUGUUAUAAUUGAUUCACCUUAUUUAAUCGGUACAUGUAGAUCUAGAAUAACCGUGAAUAUUGUGCCUAAAUCUGUUAUAAGUUAGGCUUGUUAAAUCAUUUUUUGCAGGUAAAUAAUUUUUUGCAGGUUGAUAGAGUAGGGGAAACGGCAUUCGAAAGAAGUUCACGUAGGGUUUCUUUCACUUUCCGCAAGGUUUGCUUAUACUUACAAUUUUUUGUUCAUCUUCAGUAUCUAUUUAUUGAGUUGGAUAGAAAGAAGUAUCGGGGGUGAACUAUUCUUAAGCAUUUACAAUUUUGCUUUGUUGGAAAACACAUUUCCCAUACAAUAGAUGAAGUAUAAGGUUGCUUUGUGUAGUUUUUGUUUUCCUUAAUACCUCUAUUUAUGAUUGUAAUAUUCUGGUGAAUAGCACCAAUUCUUAUUAAAUAAUCUGUGUAAUUUUUUUUAGUAGAUCUUUUAUUUGUUCUAAGUAAAAUAUUUUUUUUAAGGGUAACCAGUGAUUCAAAGAAUUUGUAAGACAAAUUUUGGAUCCUCAACAAGUCGGGUACACCAUCACCAUACCAAUACUUUGAGUAUAGAAUAUUUAGAUGAGAUUUCGAACCCUUAAUCCAAGUUUAAUAAAUCGAGUACCCCUCAUUGGACUAGCUUAUUGGGGGUAGAAUUUAGAGAAUGAGGAAUCAAACCAUCAACCUAAGAUAAGUACCUUUACCCAACUAAUAUUCAGGUUUAGAAUAAACUUCUUAAUCAUGUAUGAUGUUUUAUUUUAAUAUUAUAGUACAAUCGAGGUUCGUAAUUUCAUACCGUGUCGGUGUAUCGAGCUUUGCUCGGUAUGGUACGUUAUGGGCGUAUCGAGCAGUAUGCUAAGGUGUAUCGCUCGGUAUGUAUAUAUAUAAUAUAAAAAUGUAAUAAUUAUAAAAAAUAAUAUAUAAAAAUAAAAAUAAUAAAAAAAGGAGACAUACGCUGCCUUUGUGGUGUUGCCUCCUUUUCUUCUCCUCGUCGCGUCAGAUGAGGAGAAGAACGUGGUCUUCUCCUCAUUUGCGACGUUCGACGAAGACGUCGAAGGUCGCAAAUGUGUCCUACUUUUGGCGAAGAACACGGUGAAGGCCGUAGGCAUCUCUGGCCUUCGGUGAAGAACGCGAUGAAGAAGUCGAGCCGCCACCACUCUGUUACCUCCUGGGUCGGGAUCGUCGAGGGAGGGCGACGUCGGAUCGGGAAGCAUCGAGGUUCUCCCGAUUCUCCCUUUUCUUCAAGUGCCUUCUCCAUUUUCUUUGAGCGCCUUCUCCCUCUUCUCCCUUGAUGCUUCUUCUUCCCUCGUUGCAGCUAGGCUGAUACCGCAUGGUAGCGGGCGACAAUGGUCAAUUACCGACUUGUUUCGAGCGGUAACGGUUGAAAUAUUGAUCGUUACCACUUGAUACAGCCCUGUAUCGUCCGAUACAAGGCUAGAUCAACGGUACCACCUGGUACAAGCGGAAUCAUUUAGUGUUGUAGUCCUGAGUACAACUAUAAUUUAGUACAAGAUUUAUCAUACCACAACAUACUGCUCAGUACGGGCGAUAUGUACCAAUCUGACAAGGGGUGGUAUAUUGGUAUGUUCCAUGUAUCGUGUGUUGGUACACUUGGUAUGGCUUAGUACAACUCGGUAUGUACCGUACCAAUAGUUUGUCGGUACAUCGGUAUGGACCGGUAAGACGAACUAUGAUUUAUUAUAGUGUAGUUUUAGUGUGUGGUAUGAAGUUUAUAAAUAGUAUGCUUCUUGUAGCAUAUAGUAAAUAUCUGCUAUUACAUUUCGUAGCCUUCUGAAUAUAAUGAACCACAUUAACAAUACCAUGAGCAAUCACCUGUAUUGCCAUUCUAGUUGUGGCACUGUAACUUUUUUGUCCUCUAUAUAAAUCUUAUAAACUUCUAGUUUCUGCACACGCUAUUAACUAACGUGCUAUAUGGUAUGGGUUGACAUGAACGCUUGUUCCAACUUGUUGGUAUUGCCUAUGCACCUUGUUGGUAUUUCAUAUGCACCUUGCACUUUUUUUACAAACUUCUCUGGUCAGUUAGUAGUUGGAAUUCGACCGUGAUCAUUAUGCCUCAUUUCUCUAUUGCAAGCUUUUCAAAUAGUGUUAGUUAGAUCUAGUUUAUUAAUUCAAAGAAAGAUACACGUCAUUGUAGGUUAUGAAAGGAUCAUGCUGCUGUCCAUACAAGCAGUAUUGUGACUCUCAACUGGAAUGUAGAAAUCAACAGGUAAAACAAGACAUAGUCCAAUCAUCUCUACCAUUGAAACGAGAAGCAUUUUGUCCAACAGACACUGACCGAAUAUAAAGGUAAAUUUCAGUUUUUCACUUAGUCAUUUGUUAAAUUAAAUUAAGAUGCAAAGAAUAAUGAGGAAAAAGUUAACCUUUUGAAUGUUGUGCAGGUUUCUAACCAUGAUUAUCCUGUGACAACCUGUGUUGAUUGGACUCUAAAUCAGGUGCACUAUGAUGAAAGCCGACUUUUAUAAUCACCUCUCAUAACAAUCAUUCAGUUGUAACAUCUUCAUGUUGAUUCUUUUUUCUGGAGCUGAGAUGGCUGAUAAUGAAUAUUCGGAGAUUUUGUUUUCAAUUUUUCCUUUAGCUGCUUUUGUGAUUCCCGGAGAAACUCUUGCAGACUUAUUUUGGCACAAUAUGAUUGUUGUGUCGUGUUUUGGUUUCUUUCUUCUCCUAUCUUUGAAACAUUUUAGUUCAAGGAGACACAUUUUACUGGAUUUUCUUGAUUUUGUUGUAUUAAGUGUUGUGCUUAUAGCUUUGGAUCCAAUGCCCAUACUAAAUAGGGAAAAGGGGGCACCAGUAAAUUCUGCAUGAGAUGUUCGAAUAUCUUACUGGGCAUUGGAUGAUGUACUUAUGGGCUAAUUAUCUUGUGGCCAACUUAAAGCUGCAACCAUUACGAGGAAGUGAUCAAUUUGAUGUACUUAUGGGCUAAUUAUCUUGAGGACUUUAUUACAAGACCAUCUUAUGGGCAUGAUCAUCUUGAGGACAUGAAUGAUCUUGAGGACUUGAUUACAAGACCAUCUUAUGGGUAUGAUCAUCUUGAGGACUUGAUUACAAGACCAUCUUAUGGGUAUGAUCAUCUUGAGGAUUUGAUUACAAGACCAUCUUAUGGGCAUGAUCGAUCUUGAGGACUUGAUUACAAGACCAUCUUAUGGGCAUGAUCGAUCUUGAGGACACGACAGGCUUCAUGAUGCAAUCGGACUCGAUGGCAUUCUCAAUAUUUUGUGGGCAUGACCAUCUUGAAGGCGUGACUAAGUAAUUGUUUUAAUAAUAUAAUAGACUUCAAUGUAUGAUCAUCUCGAGGGUGCAAUCGUGUGACCAUCUUGACGAUAUGAUCAGCUUGAAGGUGUGCUCAUCUUGAUGACGCUUCUGAGUUGAGGGUGCAAUUGUCUAAAGCUUGUGAUCGUUGUAAUGACGUGUUUACCGUGAGAAAGCAAUUAAUCCAAAGAGGUGAGGUCAGGUGGAGGGGCAAUUGUUGUUGGCUUGAAGGUGCGUCUAUCUUGACUUGACAAUGCAUUUGAUUUGAGCACUGCCUAGAGGUUGCGAUCGUUUUCACGACAUAGCUGUCUUGAGAAAGGAAUCAAUUCGGAGAGGUCAAUCAAGGGGGUGCAAUUGUCUUCGAGGUGUAGUUGACUUGACGAUAUGAUCGGCUUCAAGGUGUGACCAUCUCGACAAUGCGUCCGACUUGAGGGUUCAUAACAAUGUGGCUCAUCUUGAGAAAGCAAUUGAUAUGAAGAGGUCAAGUUGAGGGGUGCAAUUGUGUCGAAGAGGUCAGGUCGACUUGACGUUAUGAUCGUGUUGUUGAAGGUGCAGACUAUCUUGACAAUUCAUCCAAUUUGAGGGUGCAAUUGUCUGGAUGCAUCCAUGACUAUUUUAACAAUGUGGCUCUUUUGAGCAAGCAAUUAAUUCGGAUAAGUUGGGUCGAGGGGCAAUCAUCUUGAAUGUGUAGUCGAUUUGAAGGUGCGACCAUCUUGACGAUAUAUCCGACUUCAGGUUGUCCGUCCGGAGGCUGCAACAUAUUUGUCUUGAAUCCACAAAGGUCUGGGAUGCAAUCAUAUUGAACUUGACAAUAUAUAUAUAAUCGACUUUAAGUUGCGACCAUAUUGACAAUGUGUUUGACUUGUGGGUGCAACCGUCGUAGACGUCAUAACUGGACCUUAUUUUUUUUAAUAUAAAAUUAGAUUUAAUUGUUCGAUGGGUUAUAAAUAUCAGAUUUUGAUAAUAAAAUUAAUUAAUAAAUUAAUUUAUUAUUGAUAAAAAAAAUAUUUUGAUUAAAGAUUAAGACUACCAAUCAAUCAAAUGUUGAGUGGAAUAGUCGAAUAUUGUGCUUGAAGAUUAUCGUGCUAAAACAUUAAAUGUCUAAUUAAGGAUCGAAUUUAUUGUUAGAAGUUCUAUGGUCAAAGGAUCUCUUAAUACGGUUGAUAUGCUAGAGGAUAAAGUCAUGUAUCAAAGACACGAACGAAUUAUCGAAAGAUCGGAUGAUAUGUUAGAAAAGUAAACAACGGGCCAAAAGCCUUAAAAAUGUGUCGGAUGAGACAUUUAUGAGUCAAGGUUUUGAUCCAUGUCAUUUCGAACUAAUUCAAGUUCGAUAAUAAGCUAAAAUAGAGCUCACUUAUUAUAUCUAACGCAUCGAGAAACAUUUAUGUGAUUAAGAAAUAUGACAAGAAAGCUAAUCUUCCAUGGAACCGGCGGCAACUUUACGACACGAAGAAUUGCAUGGAUACGGGCAGUCGAUCUUCCUUACAGCAGAACUCCGACCGAAGUACCAGUCUCCCACAGCCUUCCCAAUUGGCUGCAAGAAAGAACAGAUAUGAUCAUCACCAUGGAAUUCCCAUUUCUGACACGAGUGAUGAAGUUUUCACAGAGCUGCUAGAGCUUACAGUGUUAUCGAUCUUUGGAGAAUCAUCUGAAUACCAGAUAUCCGCAUCUCCAGAUAGGCAAUGAGUGUGGCAUGAGAGGAUGAACAAUCCCGUAGACGAGCUGCCUGCUCCCGGCAGUGCGUUCAGGAACGUUGUCCUGAAACCUGAUAUCGACGUAUUAGCUCACUCUUUACACACGAAGAAUAAAUUGGCAGUUGACAUAAAUCUAGAAUUACUCGCCAGCUGAUCUACAAGUUCUUCAAAGAUCAGUAUUUGAAUCGCCUAACGUAGACAGCCACUACUGACACAUCACACCCAUUCGGUCGACAAGUGAAACCUCGUCCCACGGGUCGAUGGCAUGGCACAAGAUGACCCCAUGAGUUCAGUCACACAACAUUGACGGAAAGGUUGACCCGAUAAAAUUAGUACUUUAUAAUCCAUUAUCAUCGACAUUUACCUGUACCAAACAGUUGACUAUCACGUUAUAAAAGGGUUCUCUUUAACUUAGGUAUUUAACUGAAUCAUCAGAACUCUUACUAGCCUAAGUAUCAAAAGAACAUUUAGCUCUUUGUAGGGUCUAUGCCUAAGUUCCCGGCACCUUAGGUUAAGACAAACUCGAAAAUAGAUAUCGAUUAGUUUCGAACCCGAACUCACACUUGUUGGACAAGGAUAACACAUAUGGUAACACCAACCUUGCAGUUUCUGAAGUUGAUCCGAGGAACAUUUCUUGAUAUCGAGCUUGCAGUCUCCCCAAGUGUUCUUCGGAUCAGCAGAGGAUGGCACUAAAAUAUGAUCGAUCUGCGAAUAGGUAACAUACGUCACAUCGUAGAAACCUUCACGAGAGUAGUUUAUAAGAUAAUAUAGCUCAUUAAGUUACAACCUGCCAUUGAUCAUAUGCUGCAUUGAGGAUAAAAAGGGGUGUCUUCAAUGUGGCCACCACGUUCUGUGGGAAAAAGCACUGCAUGUAUUCACGUAACCAAAGAGUAAGUUAGAUGACUUGAUGACUUCUGUAUUCGUUCCAGAGUGAAAGUACACUUCCCACCUUGUUUGCUGGUAACCUCGACGUGCAUGAAGAUGGCAAAUUAUUUGCUGAUCCCUUCAAAACCAGAAAGCACCACAGAAUUAUCAUCACAAAAAGUUAGAGGGAGUCAUCAAUCAGGAGCAUGGAAGGUCAGAGCAUACAUGAAGUUUAACAACAUCACCAUAAAAGGAUUGGAUCGCGUCUGCUCCAGAAAUAUCCUUCCUGUUCAUAGAAACCUAGUACUGGUUAACGUCAGAGCCAGAAAGAGAUUCAGAGAUCACAAUCAAAUUAACAUAUAUUAGGUUAGACAUCGACUCAAUCCAAAAGUUUAAGCCAUUUGAGUACAGACAAAACCUAGUAUAUGUAAACUUAGCGAUAAACGACUAUCCACUCAAUCCAUCUUUAUUAUCUUACACACAUGAAUAUUUUUGGUUUAACUCUCUUUAUCUCGUAUGUAUAUAUGUGAAUAUUUGCAACAGUAGCCCGACGAUGAGAUUCGUGACGCGGACUAAAGAUGUAGAACUUACGCAUCAAUGAAAUAACCAGCAUCGGAGAAGCAUUUCACUGUUGCAGUAGCUGGGAGAAGACUGCGGAAGUUGUCACAAUGUAGUAUGGUUGUCAAUCCACCUGCCGAGCAACCACCGAGAAGUGCCUGCGAGCAUUCACCAAUGUUAGAACAGAAACUUUGAGAGUGAUAAGACUUGACCACUUUACAUCUACAUACCUUUUGUGCUUUGUUCAUCCCCUUCGCCAAUAGAUCUUUCAUUAUAGCUCUCCAAACUCUGGCUCCUCUGAAGUGGAGACCUGUAGCCUAAUCAAACGAAGAUGUGAAAGACAUGUUAUCGAUACAACGUUGCUUAGCAAGGAAAUGAAACAUAUAUCAGAAGAAACAUCGGAUUAGGAGCUCACAGGAUCUACUUUUUCUAUGUCCCCUGUAAAUGAGGCACCAUCACAGUACCGAAUCUUGACCCGGUUCCAGUUAUAGAAGUCUGCAAGCAUUGCAAGAAUCAAAGCAAAGAAUAAGACAGCAAAAGCUCCAUAUUAUUAUUGUUGUUGUUGUAUUCGAUGGCAUCAUUCGAAUGAUACAAUGAAAGUUAAAUCUGACAUGCAUCAAGAAAUUGUGUUAAUAGUACAUUGGUAGAGAAGGAAGAUUAAUCAUACCAGGAUUGCUUUGCUGAACGCCUCCUAACAUGCCAGAGAAGGAUUGAGGCGGCAUAUGAUCAGAGGAACCUCUAAAAGUGUUUUUACGUGCUAAGCAUUCUUCAACAGUGCUGCACCAACCUCCUCCCUGCAAAAUGAGGGAGGGAUUUAUUCGGUGACCAAGGAUAGAUUAUUUCGAAACAUGGAUGUUCCAAUGGAUUUAUAAUAUCCUUCGAUAUAGUAUGGUAUUGUAAUACUCCCGUUACUCACACAUUCAAGAUGGACAAAAUUAAAAUUAAUUUAUAAGAGUCUAAUGAGUAUAUUAUUAUUAACUUUUAUUUAAAUAUUUUAAUUAAUAAUUUAAGAUAAAAAAAAUUAAUAAACCAAUUAACUCACUAAGUCAACCGUUUAUCGGUUCAACAGUUUGUCUUCACUGAUUAGGGUAAAUUGACUUUGCUCAUCAAUGUAAGGCCUGUAUUGUCUUGUACUAAUAUUUUUUUUUUACAUAUAUUUUUAAAAUUUAAUAUAUUCUGAUAAUAUUUAUCAGUAUACUGAUACAAACCGAUAUGAUACAUUAAGGAUAUAUGAAAUUGUGAAUCUUGGUGUGCAUUUCUCUUUUUUAGCAAAUAGAAACAUAAUUAAAAAAGAAUACAAAUCUUGUUACUUCAUUUUCAGCAGUGAAUGUGCAAAAUCUACUUUCACUUUACAUUUUUUUGUCUAUCAAAGAAAAUUUUUGCAUCUACCGUGUAGUAAAACAAUCUAUCUAUCUGUUGUUGCAUGUAAUAUAGAAGACUAAGACUGGGAAACCUACAAGGAAUUGAAGUUCUACAAGUUCUAAAGAUAAAUCAUGAUCUAAAAGGCAUUCCAAUCACCAUUUCUACUGCCAAAGCUCACGCUUCAGUUCUAGAUGUUGAAAUCAGGUUUGACAGGCAUCCUAUGUUGACACAAAUCAUAUAUGCAUACAACAUAUAACCAACAAUUAAUCGAAAACGUACCAAUCAUAAUGUUUGCGUACUACAUCAAGAAAAUAAACUGACCUCGACGAAAACCAACCAGUUAUUUGCACCAGAGCCAGAACCAGGGGCGAGAUUAUAUGCUGGAGCACUUCCAUCCAAGCAAACUGGAAAAUAAGAAGAUGAGUUCACUUGGAAGCUGCCGUGGGUAGAUGUCCAAGAAUGAACUUGUUCGGAUAACUAUCAUAGCAAUGAAGAAGAUAAGAUCCAAAAGAGAAUCCAUGGGUACACAGACCUGCUCCUUCAGCUACUGCACCUUUCAACACAGUCAUGGGCACAUUGUCACCUUCAACUUGUAGAAAGGCCAGUAGAUAGAGUAAGCAGAUGAGAGGGCACACCCAUGUUCCUGAUUUAACACCAACCAUUCUGCAACAUCGAUUCGAAUCUGUUAGCACAGAGGACAGAAAAGCCUACAGGAGGAGUCGAAAGGCCAUUCUGUACUUCAUUAGAAAUAGAAAUCUAUGAGAAUCCACGGGAUAAUGCAAGACAGGGCCUCAGAGAAACAUGCAAGCUGAGAACGAGGAACUUAGAAGAACUAAAAAGACCUGAAAUUUAGUGGCGAAGCACUGCGCACAAACCGCUUCGCGAUGAGCUGAGAACACUUGUAAGAUGGAGAGGAACUCGAGAUCUCGGCCGUGCUCAUUAUUAGCUGUGCAGGAAGGGAGACUCUUUAAAAGAUUUUGCUGUGCACUGAGUUUUUGGCAUAAUGAUUCCUGGAAUCGUAGGUGUUAAAAGACGGACAGCAGAAUUUGGAAGGUACCGAUCAAAGAAACAAAAACAUUCAAAUAUUCAUUCACUAAAUAGCAAAGAUGGAGGAAAGAAUGAAUAAGAUGGAAAGAUGACGCAAGAAGAAUAUUUCGUGAGCAAUUAUAUUAUCAUUUUGAAGGUUCAUGUAUCGGUUAUGCACGAACUCUCAGGACUAAUUAUAGAUUAUUCUCUAUAACUAAUUAUUUUUAUAAAAAAAUAAGGAUUAAAAUUAUAGCAAGAAAAGGAGAUUUUACGAUGAGGUUACUCCUUUAUCAUAAUUAUAGUCUCUAUAUUUAGAUAUACAUUUAACUCCUGGGAGUCUUACACAGAUUAAUUACAUAUUUUUCUAUAUAAUUAGUUAUCUUUAGUAUUCUAAUCGUUAUAUUUUCAAAAAUUACACUAGGAUCCCUAUAUUAAUGAAAGUGAAAUAUUUAACUUUGUUUCUUCUUACACCGUCGAUUUUGUUGAUGGAAAUACCAUAUACAUUCGGUGGUAAAUUGAAGUCAGGCAGAAUUAAUACAUGCUUAGUGAUAAAUCAUAUAUUAUUUUCAUCAGUAAAUCGAUGAUGUGAGAAAAAAAUAAAAUAAAAUGUUUCAUUUUUAUAAAUAUAAGAAUCGUAAUAUAAUUUUUAAAAUUAUAAGGAUCGGGAUACUAAAUAUAAUUAAUUAUAUGAGAUAAUAUAUAAUUAAUCCGUAAGGCUCUCUGGGAGGUAAUGUGUUUCUAAAUUUAGAGAUUAUAAUUAUGGUAAAGGAAUAACCUGAUCGUAAGACUUACCUUUUUUGUCAUUAUUUUAAUCAUCGCACCUUUGUUAUUAUAAUUAUAAUUAAAACUCACGAUGAAUAUGAGUUGCAUGAAAGUUAUUAGGUGAGGAACAAAUGGUGAUAUGGAUUCAGAAAUUUUAAUAUUUGUAAAGUGAUACUGUCAUUCGGAUUCUUUUUGGAUUUUGAUAUGAGAUUAAUGUAUCCCAAAUAAAACAAUUCAUUGCACACAUUCCGACGAUUCAUAAUGGAUUGAAACCUAAAGAGAAAACCUAAAUAGAUGAUUUCUUGAAAAAGUUUCUAAUUUUAAACUUUUCUUAGAAACGUAACUCUAAUUUUUACCUUUUCUAUUUAGUACCUUUAUUUUCUAUGAUAUAUGAAAUGGCUUUUACCGUUAUUUUUAUCAUGUUAUCUUCCGUCAUAUUGAUCAUAGAGCCUUUCCUAUGCAUCAUCCUUUUACGAACUUAAUUGUAUUUGUCUAAGUUGUAUGAUACUCUUGCAUGUCUAUCCAACGUUAAGGAUAAGUCUCACUGUAAUUUCUCAAAAAGAAAAGAUGAGUUAGAAGAAACAUUAUACUAGAAAUCUCACAUGUAGAUAUUUUAGUAAACCCUUGAUAGAUAAUAUAAAUAUAGAUAAACUUUAUAAGCUCUGAAUGAUUAUACAACAAAAGGUCUAACGCAAUCCACCAUGACUAGAAGUCAUCAUAAGUGCCCACAUGAUACUACUGCAAUAUAAUAAAAUGAACCAGCCUAAGAUAAUAUCCCAAGACCUAUCCAUCAAUGUGCUAUUUGGAUAGCUCUAGGAUCCUGAAAUAGUUGACAUUAUGCACUGUACUAUAUAACCAAAAACUCCAAAAAUGACUGUCUAGGUAACUUGUUUUUGAGUAGUAUUACCUUUAUGCACUGCACACAACCUACAUAUAUAAAUCUAAAAUAAUCACAAAAGUCAAUCAAGAUAGGAGUGUCAACUCAACUAUAAGCUCUAUACGUGUUAUGUAGAGCAUGAAUAAAACUAAAAGAUAUAGACAUAUAGAAAUAUUAUAUCAAACACCUUAUAUACAAAUUUAUAUGAUAUUAUACUCUACUUAUUUCUUGAACAUCUUCGUCAAAGACUUUGCGGACACUACAUGUCCUUACCUUUAUUAAAUCUUUAAUAUUUUGCUUCGGUUGUAAUGCACCUCUUAGCUUUCAAUUACUAUCUUUGAUUCGAUAGGACAUCUUUGGUGUCUCAAGUAAAAGAAUCAGAUACAUAAUUGGGAUAAUAGAAUCGCUAUCUGAUAAUAAAAUAUCAUAAGUAAAAGAAUCAGAUAUAUAAUUGGGAUAAUAGAAUCGCUAUCUGAUAUAAUAAUAAAGUACCAUUAAUCAUCUAACAUUAUGUAAGCGGAUCAAUCAGUGAACUUAUUCUCUAAUGAGUACCUGUAUUGUAUCCCUAGUAUCCCCACACGAGUAAUAUAAGACCAACCACCUCCAUUAUAUGGACGGAUGUAUAUCGCACCAAUAUAUCAAGUUAUCUUGAUGUUCCUUUUCGAGUAACCUUUGAUCGAGAUUAUUUAAGGUAUUUGUUUAAAGACGAAUCGAUCUCAUUAUCAUGAUCUCAUCAUGAUCCGAUUCUCAUUAUACAUAUCCAUGAACAUCACAAUAUAUGUAAUAGAUAUUAUAAAUUUUAAAAUAUUAAAUAAAUAAUAAACAAAACGAGUGUCUCAACGGAAAAGAGUAUCGUAUAUCUGACACAUACUUGUAACCAAAGAUAUUUCCCAUACAUCGAGAAACAUUUAUGUGAUUAAGAAAUAUGACAAGAAUGCUAAUCUUCCAUGGAAUUGCUGUCAACUUUACGACACGAAGAAUUGCAUGGAUAUGGGCAGUCGAUCUUCCUUACAGCAGAACUCCGACCGAAGUACCAGUCUCCCACAGCCUUCCCAAUUGGCUGCAAGAAAGAACAAAUAUGAUCAUCACUAUGGAAUUCCCAUCUUCUGAUAUGAGCGAUGAAGUUUUCACAGAGCUGCUAGAGCUUACAGUGUUAUCGAUCCUUGGAGAAUCAGCUGCAAACCACGUAUCCGCAUCUCCAGAUUGGCAAUGAGUGUGGCAGGAGAGGAUGAACAUUCCCGUAGACGAGCUGCCUGCCCCCGGCAGUGCGUUCAGGAACGUUGUCCUGAAACCUGAUAUCGACGUAUUAGCUCACUCUUUGCACACGAAGAAUAAAUUAGCAGUUGACAUAAAUCCAGAAUUACAACUAUUAAUAGUCGCCAGCUGAUCUACAAGUUCUUCAAAGAUCAGUUUUUGAAUCGCCUAACGUAGACAGCCACUGACACAUCACACCCGACAAGUGAGACCUGGUCCCACGGGUCGAUGACAUGGCAUAAGACGAUCACAUGAGUUCGGUCACACAACAUUGACUUAAAGGUUGAACCGAUAAAAUUAUUACUUUAUAAUUGUGUACGAUCUCAUGACUCAUUGAUGGUCAUUUAUCACGUCAUAUAAAGGCUCUCUAGACGUGUUCUCUUGAACUUAGGUAAUUAACCGAGUCUUCCUAACUAUUACUAGCUCAAGUAUCAAAAGAACAUUUUCGGAUAUACCUCCGAUGUAGCUCUUUGUAGGUUCUAUGCCUAAGUUCCCGGUACCUCAGCUUAAGAUAAACUUGAAAAUAGAUAUCGAUUGAUUUCGAACCCGAACACACACAUGUUGGACAACGAAAACAUAUAUGGUAACACCAACCUUGCAGUGUCUGAAGUUGAUCCGAGGAACAUUUCUUGAUAUCGAGCUUGCAGUCUCCCCAAGUCUUAUUAGUAUCAGCAGAGUUUGGCACUAAAAUAUUUCUGAUCUGCGAAUAGGUAACACACGUCACACAGUAGAAACCUUCACGAGAGUGGUUAAUAAAAUAAUAUAGCUCAUUAAAGUUAUAACCUGCCAUUGAUCGUAUGCUGCAUUGAGUAUAAAAAGGGGUGUCUUCAUUGUGGCCACCACGUUCUGCGGGAAAAAGCACUGCAUGUAUUCACGUAACCAAAGAGUAAGUCAGAUGACUUGAGGUCUUCUGCAUUCGUUCCAGAAUGAAAGUAUACUUCCCACCUUGUUUGCUGGUAAGCUCGACGUGCAUGAAGAUGGCAAAUUAUUUGCUGAUGCCUUCAAAACCAAAAGCCACCACAGAAUUAUCAUCACAAAAAGAUUGGAGGGAGUCAUCAAUCAAGAGCAUGGAAGGUCAGAGCAUACAUGAAGAUUAAUAACAUCACUAUAAAAGGAUAGGAUCGAGUCUGCUCCAGAAAUAUCCUUCCUGUUCAUAAAAACCAUAGUACUGGUUAACGUCAGAGCCAGAAAGAGACUCAGAGAUCACAAUCAAAUUAACAUAUAUUAGGUUAGACAUCGAUUCAAUCUAAAAGUUUAAGCCAUUUGAGUACAGACAAAACCUAGUAUAUGUAAACUUAGCGAUAAACGACUAUCCUCUCAAUCCAGCUUUUUUAUCUUAUAAUAUUUUUGGUUUAGCUCUCUUUAUCUCGUAUGUAUAUAUGUGAAUAUUUGCAACAGUAGCCCGACGAUGAGAUUCGUGACGCGGAAUAAAGAUGUAGAACUUACGCAUCAAUGAAAUAACCAGCAUCGGAGAAGCAUUUCACUGUUGCAUUCGCUGGGAGAAGACUACGGAAGCUGUCACAAUGUAGUAUGGUUGUCAAUCCACCUGCUGAGCAACCACCGAGAAUUGCCUGCGAGCAUUCGCCAAUGUUAGAACAGAAACUUUGAGAGUGAUAAGACUUGACCACUUGACAUCCACAUACGUUUUGUGCUUUGUUCAUCCCCCUCGCCAAUAGAUCUUUCAUAAUAGCUCGCCAAACUCUGGCUCCUCUGAAGUAGAGACCUGUAGCCUAAUCAAACGAAGAUGUGAAAGACAUGUUAUCGAUACAGCGUUGCUUAGCAAGGAAAUGAAACAUAUAUCAGAAGGAGCAUCGGAUUAGGAGCUCACAGGAUCUACUUUUUCUAUGUCCCCUGUAAAUGAGGCACCAUCACAGUACCGAAUCUUGACCCGGUUCCAGUUAUAGAAGUCUGCAAGCAUUGCAAGAAUCAAAGCAAAUAAUAAGACAGCAAAAGCUCCAUAUUAUUAUUGUUGUUGUUGUAUUCGAUGGCAUCAUUCGAAUGAUACAAUGAAAGUUAAAUGUGACAUGCAUCAAGAAAUUGUGUUAAUAGUACAUUGGUAGAGAAGGAAGACUAAUCAUACCAGGAUUUCUUUCCUGAACGCCUCCUAACAUGCCAGAGAAGGAGACAGGCGGCAUAUGAUUAGAGGAACCUCUAAAAUUGCCUUUACGUUCUACGCAAUCAUUAACAGUGCUGCACCAACCACCUCCCUGCAAAAUGACGAGGGAGGGAUUUAUUACGUGACCAAGAAGAGAUUCUUUCGAAACUUGGAUGUUCCUCAAUUUGAGAUUUAUAAUAUCGUUCGAGAUAAUAUGAUAUUGUAAUACUCUCAUUAAUCACACAUUAAAGAUGGACAAAAUUAAGAUUAAUUUAUAAGAAUCUCAUAAGUAAAUUAUUAUUAAUUUUUAUUUAAAUAUUUUAAUUAAUGAUUUAAGUUAAAUAAAAUUGAUAAACCAAUUAGCUCACCAAGUCAACAGUUUGUCAUCACUGAUUAGGGUAAAUUGACUUUGCUCAAUAUAAUGCCUGUAUUGUCUUUUACUGAUUUUUUUUUACAUAUAUUUUUAAAAUUUAGUAUAUUCCGAUAAUACCGUGAGUACACUGAUACAAACCAGUAUGAUAUAUAACAAAACUUGGUGUACAUUAAGGAUAUAAGAAAUUAUGAAUCUUGGUGUACAUUUCUCUUUUGUAGCAAAUAGAAACAUAAUUAAAAAAGAAUACAAAUCUUGUUACUUCAUUUUCAGCAGUGAAUGUGCAAAAUCUACUUUCACUUUACAUUUUUUUGUCUAUCAAAGAAAUUUUUUGCGAUCUACCGUGUAGUAAAACAAUCUAUCUAUCUGUUGUUGCAUGUAAUAUAGAAGACUAAGACUGGGAAACCAACAAGGAAUUGAAGUUCUACAAGUUCUAAAGAUAAAUCAUGAUCUAAGAGGCAUUCCAAUCACCAUUUCUACUGCCAAAGCUCACGCUUCAGUUCUAGAUGUUGAAAUCAGGUUUGACAGGCAUCCUAUGUUGACACAAAUCAUAUAUGCAUACAACAUAUAACCAACAAUUAAUCGAAAACGUACCGAUCAUAAUGCUUACGAACUACAUCAAUAAAAUAAACUGACCUCGACGAAAAGCAACCAGUUAUUUGCACCAGAGCCAGAACCAGGGGCGAGAUUAUAUGCUGCAGGACUUCCAUCCAAGCAAACUGGAAAAUAAGAAGAUGAGCUCAUUUGGAAGCUGCCGUGGGUAGAUGUCCAAGAAUGAACUUGUUCGGAUAACUAUCAUAGUAAUGAAGAAGAUAAGAUCCAAAAGAGAAUCCAUGGGUACACAGACCUGCUCCUUCAGCUACUGCACUUUUCAACAGAGUCAUGGGCACAUUGUCACCUUCAACUUGUAGAAAGGCCAGUAGAUAGAGUAAGCAGAUGAGAGGGCACACCCAUGUUCCUGAUUUAACACCAACCAUUCUGCAACAACGAUUCGAAUCUGUUAACACAGAAGACAGAAAAGCCUACAGGAGGAGUCGAAAGGCCAUUCUGUACUUCAUUAGAAAUAGAAAUCUACGAGAAUCCACGGGAUAAUCCAAGACAAGGCCUCAGAGAAACAUGCAAGCUGAGAACGAGGAACUUAGAAGAACUAAAAAGACCUGAAAUUUAAUGGCGAAGCACUGCGCACAAACCGCUUCGCGAUGAGCUGAGAACACUUGUACGAUGGAGAGGAACUCGAGCUCUCGGCCGUGCUCAUUUUUGGCUGUGGAGGAAGGGACUCUUUAAAAGAUUUUGCUGUGCACGGAGUUUUUGUCAUAAUGAUUCCUGGAAUCGCAGGUGUUUAAAGACGGACAUCAGAAUUUGGAAGGUACCGAUCAAAGAAAGAAAAACAUUCAAACGUUCCUUCGUUAAAUACCAAAGAUGGAGGAAAGAAUGAAUAUGAUCGAAAGAUGACGCAAGAAGAAUAUUUCUUGAGCAAUUAUAUUAUCAUUUUGAAGGUUGAUGUAUCGGUAAUGCACGAGACUCUCGGGACUAAUUAUAGAUUAUGCUCUAUAAUUAACUAUCGUUACAAUGAAAGAAUAAGGAUUAAAAUAAUAAAAAGAAAAAGAGGUUUUACGGUGAGGUUAUUCUUUUACCAUAAUUACAGUCUCUAUAUUUAGAUAUAGAUAUAACUCCCGAGAGUCUUAUAUAGAUUAAUUAGAUUCGUAAUUAGUUAUCUUUAGCAUUCUAAUCCGUAUACGUUCAAAAAUUAUAUUAAGAUUUCUAUAUUAAUUAAAGUGAAAUAUUUAAAUUUGUUUCUCCUUACGUCGUCGAUUUUACUGAUAGAAAUACCACAUACUCUCAGUGAGAUAGAAUCAAUACGUGCUCAGUGAUAAAUCAUACAAUAUUUUCAUCAGCAAAAUCGAUGAUGUUAAAAAAAAAUAGAAUUAAAUGUUUCAAUCAUAUAAGUAUAUGAAUCAUAAUGUAACUUUUAAAAUUAUAAGGAUUGGGAUACUAAAUAUAAUUAAUUAUAGAAGAUAAUAUGUAAUUAAUCUGUAAGACUCCUUGGGAGUUAAUGUGUUUCUAAAUUUAGAGACUAUCAUUAUGGUAAAGGAAUAACCUCACCAUAAGACUUACCUUUUUUUGUUAUUAUUUUAAUCAUCGCUUCUUUGUUGUUAUAAUUCUAAUUAAAACUCAUGAGUUGGAUGAAAGUUAUUACGUGAAGAACAAAUGGUGAAAUGGAAUCAGAAAUUUUAAUAUUUGUAAAGUGAUACUAUCAUUCUGGUUCUUUCCGAUUUUGAUAUGAGAUUAAGAUACCCCAAAUAUAAUAAUUCAUUGCACACACUAUCAUAAUUAAUAAUGGAUUGAAACCUAAAUAAAAAACCUAAAUGGAUGAUUUCCUGAAAAAGUUUCUCAUUUUAAACUUUUCUUAGAAAUAUGCCUCUAAUUUUUACCAUUUCCAUUUGGUACCUUUAUUUUCUAUGACAUAUGAAAUGGCUCUCAUCAUCAUUUUUAUCCUGUUAUCUUCCAUCAUGUUAAUCGUCUAGCCUUUCCUACACAUUAUCUUUUUAUGGACUUAAUUGUAUUUGUUUAAGUUGUAUGAUACACUUAUAUGUCUAUCCAUUGUUAAGGAUGAGUCUCACCGUAAUCUUUCAAAAAGAGCUAUUUAGUGUUGUAGGCAUAUCUCUUGGCAGCGUGCUGGAGUUUUUCUCAACCAUGAGGAACAGGCCGGCUUCCGAUGCUGUUGCUCUACUUAGUAUCAACUGGUUCAUUCUGGGUACUCUCUCUUCUCGGACGUUGCCUGUCAUUGCUCAUAUGCUUGCACCGUCGGCCAUCAGGAUUGCUGUUCAGCUGGUUGGCUGGCUUGGUUUCUCUGUGUAGCCUAAUGGCCAUUAAGCAAAGCAGUUCUUGUAGUCAGUUGUCGGUGUUUGCUUUUUGAUGUAAUGGUUCACAUCAGUAUGUUCUUUGUUGCAAUGUCGGUCUUGUAGCUUCUGUGACGCUGUAGCUUCACUUGUACUGUCACUGUGGCUUAUGUGGUGCUUGGUUUGCUUUCUUUCAGUUAACCUGUUUGAAAUCUUUUACCACUUCAUUCAUCCGGGAGUUGUCCAUAUAUCAUAAAUUGCAUGGUAGCGAACAGCUCUGUUCUCCAAAUGGAUGAUGACAACGAUGCUCGACUCUUCGUAGAACCAUAUGGACUAAUCAGUGAGAAUGAUGCUGAUCUACGAGAUGACGGAACGUGCGUCCACAAUGUCUCGGUGUUAUUGUGGUCUUGUGCGAGGUAAUAAAAUAUUAUCUUCAGUCUUUAUAUUUUAAGUUUUUAUAUUUUUAAAAAAUUAUAUUAAUAUUUUUAUAGGUAUAAAAGUGAAAUAUGUAGGUUUAUUAUUCUAACAUUAAAUUUAAUGUUUCAGUUGGUAACGAAGAAUGACGUCAUCGUUGCUGAGAGCUACAAGUGAUUGUUGUGGAUGAGAAGAGUUACACUGUGAGGUGAGGAUCACUCUCACCUUUUGUUAUCGUUUUCUUUAUUCACAAUAACCACCCAUGGCCUCUAGUGGCAUCACCGUUUUUCUUAUAACAAUAACCAUCCUUAGCCCCUAAUGGCAUCACCAUUUGUUAUUAUCGACAUCGUCUCUCAUGUAAAAAUUGGAAUGUUAAAAUUAUUUUUUUAUUUUUAUAUUUUCGUCAGUAAAAACAAAACCAAUAAUAUUAUUGUAAAUGGAUCUAGAUGUUUAAUGGUAAGAAUGUCAAUAUAAUUUUUUAAAGUGUAGAGACUAGGAUACCAAAAUAAUUAACUAGAUAAUAUACAAUUAGCCCUCAAACUUUAUAUCAAUAAUAUCAAAUUUAGGUGAUCUCAUGUUAACACAAUUGUUAGGAGGGCAAUCAGUAGAGCAGAGAUAUGGACCCUUCCCUUCUCCCUAACCCUAAAGAAUCAUCAAAGUUUUGUAAGCAACGGAGAAGGAAAAUGAAUAUGGAUCAGAGAUAUUAUUAUGUAGGCCUGAAACAAUAAGAAAAAACCCUAGUGCAAGUAGUGUACGUUGUAAGGAGCACCUUCCCACGGAGCUUUUUGAUCUUGUAGGCCUUUGGAUUAGCAAUAUAUAAUUGCUUUUAAAGGUGAAGAAGGACUUUUUCAUUUUUAUUUAUUUAUUUUUCUGCCAAUUGAAAGAAACACGCGGCUGGUUUCCCCUGAUUUGAACGGGGAGCACAACCCUGGUUCGGGUUCCUCGCAGUCGUUGGAUCUGUAGCCACCCCGAAUUCCCAGCAUCCGACGGUUGUGCGUGGGCCGGAGAGCCAUAAAAUUACAAGAUCACCAGAACGACAUUUUACCUUCCUCCGAUCGACGCCACCAUCCAACCGGGCGCCGUCUGCAGGUAUUUUCUCCCUCUUUUCCUAUCCCACUGUCGACGCUCGCCGCUGUCGUCUGUUCCGCCUGUCCGCUCCUGUAAUAGUGUUUUUUCUUUUUUGAUCAAAUUCAAUGUCUUCUAUUUGGUUCAGCAUGCAGUGAAUUAUCUCAUCAAAGCCUUAUUUUGUGAGUGCACCAGUGAUCUGGUUAUGAGGACAGGCCUUGGUACAGUAGUAAGGUUGUUCCUUUGCGACCUAGGAAAUCAAGGUUCGAGUCACGGAAAAGACUUUGUACAUUGACCCUCCCCAGACCCCGCAUUGGCGGGAGCCUCGGGCACUGGGUACACCCUUUAUAGUUGAUUUUGUUAUGAUGCCACCUGGAGCCUUUGUUAGUUUCGAGUUUCAGUUUUCUUGGUUUCAUUUUCAAAUCUAGAAUGAAGGACUACAAAAUUAGGCAGUUAAGCAUCAAAUUUUAGCAGAAUAUUGAAUCUGCAAAAUUUGAUAAUGGUGUUCAGGAAUUAAAGUGCUUAUGCAUAGAUGCAAUUUCGAAGAUUCUGUUGCUUUUUCUUCCCUUAAAACACUGAAAAAAGAUGUGUGUUAUCAGCUGUAUUUAUAUUGUAGCCUGAUCUAUAUCUGAUAGUAUAAAUGGUUAAUGGAAACAUGGGUAUCAUUAUCUGUCGUAAAAUUUAUGCAUGAAAUUUUACUGAGAAAUAUAUGUUGUGGGCAGUAUCAUAGAGAUUAAAUGAUGACAAUAGUGUUUUUCUAACAACUUAUUAAGAUAUUUCUUAGGUUUAUGUUUCUGUAGGUUUAUGUUUCUGAAGGCUAUUAUUUGAAUUCAAGUUGCUGCCCACUGAAUAUGUAUGUUUUAGUGUGUAAAUAAGGAACCCUUGAACUUAUUUGAAACAUAUACUACUUUCUUUUCAUAGGAUUUGUAAAUGUCUAAAAGAUUCUAUGUCGCUGCAGUAACAGAUUUUCUGUUGGCCUAAGCAUUCAAGGAUUCGAGAUUUUGUCUCAUGCCUAGGGCUUGUGUGAAUGACAUGUAUCUCAUGUAUUCUGUAGAAUUCAUCAUUGUAAUCCAUUUAGAUUAUGCAUGUCCAUGACUAAAAGUUAUAUCUCUUUCUAGGUAUUUAAAGAUAUAUUUUUUCCAGUAUCUUUGUUGGCAUCAGACUUGGGGAUUCCAGGAAUUUAUCUCGUGCAUGAUUUUAUCACUGUGGAGGAAGAAAAGGUUAGAACUCAAGUAAAUUUAUACAUGUUCUUUCUGUAUUUAUAGAAUAUGUUCCUGGAAUAUGUUUAGAAAGUCCAUCUCUCUGUUUUAUUUUCAGAGAUUCCUUGCAGAAGUUGACAAUAGGCAGUGGAGAAGUCUGUCGAAAAGAAGAGUUCAGCAUUAUGGUUAUGAAUUUUUGUAUGAGGUAAGCUGCUUUUUGUACCUACCUACUACGACCGAAUAUAUGACACUCUGCAAACUUCCGCGCGAUUAUGAAAUUUGGAUUUACAAUGAAAUUUGCUGGUUGAGAUUGCUACAAUUUUACAUACCUAUUGUUAUCAUGGUUCAUUAUUUUGCCGGGACUGGUACAGGCUGUGCGGUACAUACCAAUCCGAUGGAGAACUGAGUAGCAGACCACCUGGAAUCAGGAAAUGGGAAUAUAACAAUUUGUUGUAUCCAAGAGUUUGCUUGUUUAUCAGACUGGCUUCUCUCAGAAUCAUUUAUAGGCUCCAAAUUUCCUCUAGCUUUCUUUUUGGUCUGACUGGUUGUUUGACUGAAGUUUUGCCUGAUGCUGCCUAUCAUUGAUGACUCUUGUGCCCUUACAUCCUUUUGUGCAGACAAGAAACAUUGAUUCUAAGCAUUUUUUGGGUGAGCUUCCAUCCUUUGUUUCUAACAUACUUCAGAAAAUCUUAUCAUUUCCUGGUCUUGGUCGUGAUCAAAACAAAGAAAUGGAUCAGUUGACGGUAUGUACCAGACAUUUGUUUCUCACUGUUCUCGAUGUGUUCAUUAAAUUCUUUCUACACGAGUAAGUCAGAAAUAGUUGGCUGCAACUUUAUCUAUAAAGAGAAUAUAUUAUAACACUUAAAUUUCUUGUUGUGCCAUCUUAGUCUCUUUAAUUUGUUUUAAGAUUUUUGGAGUCAUUUUGACAAUUUAGUCACAAUGUGAUCAAUGGAGUUGUGUUACAUAAGCUGUCCAUUUUAUGCCUUUAGUUUGAUUAUUAUUCCUUAUGGCAGAACUUGUUAUUUCCCUCUUUUCAGUACUACGUGAGCUUUGUAGUUGCUUAACUUUUUUUAUUGCUAAGUGAACUUUGUUGUUGCAUGAGCCUACCAGGCUACCAGCGAACUGGACUUGUUGGUUUCCAAGGCAAUAAUUUUCCUUUCUUCCUUAAGGGGGAAAUCUGUACCAACCUGAAAGGUUGAUGUCCGAUCAGUUCCUUAGUUUAGGGUAUUUGCACUAUAGCCAUCCAUAUACCACUACGAAAAUGCCUCAAUAAAUGGGUUUAGUGUUGGUGUCGAUAGAGACUGAUUAUAUCAUAUUACUAUAGUGGCCCAACAUUUAUUCCAUGGAUGAUAAUUUUUGUUACUUUGGGGUUUUCACUGUGGGCUAUUAUUAACUAUGUAUUUAGAUGAAUAUGAAAUCACUAAUAUUGUAAAAGUCUAUCAACCAAGAGAUUUUUGUCAAACAAAAGUUUAUAUAAACAAAUUGUGAUUUAGUCAAUAUCAGUGUCAAAAAGUCCAGUGCUUAAUUUACCUAUUCAAGAAAAUAUCCAGGGAGAUUCUAAUUAUUCUACAAUUAUACAUUUUAACUACUAAAACUCAUUACCAUCCAAGGAGAUAGAUAUGAAGGAUAUUGAAGAAACAUGCAUCUUCUUUAAUAUGGCAGUACCAAUACUAGUUUUUUGCUCUAUGUUUAAGAAUGUUGGCAAAAACUAGAGAGUAGUGUUUGGCAAAGUUCUAGAUUUGAUCCAGUAUCAAUACCAAUCUAUUGGUGGAUUGGUUUGGUAUUGUAUGCAAGGUUGUGUAGGGAUGUCAACAGGGUAGGAUGGGGGAGGGGUGGGGGUGGGGGCGGGGGCGAGGAAUGCUUCCCCGAUCACCAUCCCCGUUUCAUCCCCCAUUCCCUAUCCACACCUCAUUUCCCAUUUAGACAAGGCGGGGUGGGGGAGGGGGGGGGAGGGCAGGGACAAGGAAUCCCUACUGGGGUCAAGGAACUUGUACGUUCUUUAUAUUCUCUUAAUCAAUCCAUUUCAUUUUAGAAAAAAAUAAAAUUAUUAUCAAAACUAAUUAACAAUAUAAUUUUUUUUAAAUAAUAACAAUAAUAUUUGUAAAGUUUACAUGUCAUAACUCGUAAUUUUAUUGAUGCUUUGAUAUUGUUUUAUUUGGUUUAAUUGAACUAAAUGGCUCACAAUUAUCUCACAAUUGACUCAACGAAUGCUCAACCUAGCUUGAUUUGAAUCAGGUCGAUGCCUAGUCCACCUAGCAUUUGGGCUCACAUAUUGAUAGGGUGGGGAUGGGUACGUGGAUGUGUGGGAGUGCUCUAUCCAUCCCACCCCAUAACCGCAUAGGUAAUAGAAAAUACCCUUCAUCCCUAACCUCAUCCCCAUUUAUUCUUCCCAUCCUUACCCAGUAGGGGAUGGGUCCCUACGGGUACCUAUAUUUGUGGGUAUAAUUGAUGCCUCUAAGGUUGUACAUAUAUUGCUAUACCCCUUUACAGAUUGACAUGGAUGCCAAACCCAAUAGAAAAAGUAUUUGAAUUAGUUUUUGACUUAUUAGGGUUAAUAGCAACUAAGAAACAAAUUUUUGGCUAAAUAAUGACUGAAUUUUAAUUCAAAAUACGUGUGUUGCUAUGCCCUUGUACAAAUUGACAUGGAUUGGCCAAACCCAAUAUAAAUAAGUAUUUGAAUUAGUUUUCAACUAAUUAGGGUUAAUAGCAAGUAAAAAAACAAAAAAUUGGCUAAAUAAUGACUGAAUAGUAAUUCAAAAUAUGUUUUAAACAUAGAUUACAAACGGUAUAUGAAGAAAACAUUUAUGGAAGUAUUUAAAUGUCCUAAACAUGACAUAUGGUGUAUGUACUGGAAACACAUAAUUGAAAAUUUGAUGUUAUACCUUAAUAUAUGCUUAUCACCAACAAAAUGAUUGCCUUGAGUCAAUGGGAGAUGAUUCUAUGCUUUCAAUUAACUUGGUUAUAAAUCAAUAUCAUAAUUUUUAAUGACUGAUUUAUAAAACUGCUUCUAUGGUACUAGAUAUCGGUAUAUGAUGUGCCACUAAUAAUUUUCUUAUCAAAUGAUUAGUUCAAAUGUUUUUCUCUUUAAAUUUCUUAUCAUAUGGGUUCUUAUUAUUUGUUUCGGGAAGUCUAAACUACCUUUGAUUUUGAUCACAGGUUAAUGAAUAUCCAUGUGGGGUAGGCUUAUCCCCACACAUAGACACUCAUUCGGCAUUUGAUGAACUCAUCUUCAGCCUUUCAACAGCUGGCCCAUGCAUUAUGGAAUUUAGGAGAUAUCCUGAAGGGACUUGGUGCCAUCCAACUGCAUCUGUUAAUGAAAUACAUGAAGACACCCCUCUUUUAUCCUCAUAUAUUACUAGAAAAGCUAUUUUUCUUCCUCCUCGUUCUAUGAUCUUGAUGUCUGGGGAAGGGCAUUAUGCUUGGCAUCAUUAUAUUCCACAUUGCAAGGUAUGCCUUUUAUAGUAGCUCUUGACAAAUCCAAACAUGCUAGCAUAUUAUUGCUUUGUCGAAGAAGGAACUCUAUUUGAAUCAUGAUAGAGAUCUCAUUUUGAGACAUUUUCUCAUCAUAUUUGAAGUAUUUAGUGUAAUUAAAAAAGGAACCUCGUUUUAAGAAUCUUAUAUUUCAUUCAUUGAAUGUUUGUUGUCCUUUUUUCAUUGACAUUAUUUGCCCUACAACAAGAAGAUAAUAAUAAAAUAUUGAGGUCUCAACUACUUGUGCAUUUCUGUUGUUUUUCAAAAAAAUUUCUUUAGUCUUCAACUAUGUUUCCUUGCACAAAAUGCUUUAAUUUGGAUCUAUGGAUCACCACAGUCUGAUAGUGAUAGAGCAUUAUGUUGGCCAGACACCGAUAUGGUUCAAGAUAGAAAUUACCACUCAUUAAGCUCACUAUGUCAGGCUUACCGGGCGAUAAGUGAUUGGUACCAGUUUUACUAUUUGGUAUGCCUAUUGCCUGUUACCGGUAUUGUAUCUUUCUUUAUUUUUAAAUUUUAUUUCAAGUUGACAGUUGUCAGUAGUUGCUUUUUCUUAUAUUUCUUUCUCUUUCUCCUCCAUUGCCUCGAUUUCCUCCACCUCAUCUACUCCUCCUCUUCCUUUGCCUCCUGUUUUCCUGCUCCUCAUCCACAUUGCCAUCACUGCCUCUUCUUCUCCAUAUCACCGUUAUUGCCUUCUCAUACCGGUAUGUGUCGCCUCCUCUUUUCUUCUCUUUGUCUAAUUUGGUUGUAUGCCAAUUUAUGCUAGUAUUGUAUUGAUCCGGCCACAGAUUGGUAUCAGUUUGGAACCUAUAUUCUAAACCAUGUGUUGCAUCAUUUGUUAUAAUUGAUUCACCUUAUUUAAUCGGUACAUGUAGAUCUAGAAUAACCGUGAAUAUUGUGCCUAAAUCUGUUAUAAGUUAGGCUUGUUAAAUAAUUUUUUGCAGGUAAAUCAUUUUUUGCAGGUUGAUAGAGUAGGGGAAAAGGCAAUCGGAAGAAGUUCACGUAGGGUUUCUUUCACUUUCCGUAAGGUUUGCUUAUACUUACAAUUUUUCAUUCAUCUUCAGUAUCUAUUUAUUGAGUUGGAUAGAAAGAAGUAUCGGGGGUGAACUAUUCUUAAGCAUUUGCAAUUUUGCUUUGUUAGAAAACACAUUUCCCAUACAAUAGAUGAAGUAUAAGGUUGCUUUGUGUAGUUUAUGUUUUCCUUAAUACCUCUAUUUAUGAUUGUAAUAUUCUGGUGAAUAGCACCAAUUCUUAUUAAAUAAUCUGUGUAAUUUUUUUUAGUAGAUCUUUUAUUUGUUCUAAGUAAAAUAUUUUUUUUAAGGGUAACCAGUGAUUCAAAGAAUUUGUAAGACAAAUUUUGGAUCCUCAACAAGUCGGGUACACCCUCACCAUACCAAUACUUUGAGUAUAGAAUAUUUAGAUGAGAUUUCGAACCCUUAAUCCAAGUUUAAUAAAUUGAGUACCCCUUAAUAGACUAGCUUAGUUGUGGUAGAAUUUAGAGAAUGAGGAAUCAAACCAUCGACCUAAGUUAAGUACCAUUACCCAACUAAUAUUCAGGUUUAGAAUAAACUUCUUAAUCAUGUAUGAUGUUUUAUUUUAAUAUUAUUGUACGAUCAAGGUUCGUAAUUUCAUACCGUGUCGGUGUAUCGAGCUUUGCUCGGUUUGGUACAUUAUGUCCAUAUCUAGCGGUAUGCUAGGGCGUAUCGCUCGUACGUAUAUAUAUAAUAUUAAAAUAUAAUAAUUAUAAAAAAUAAUAUAUAAAAAUAAAACGAGACGUACGCUGCCUCGGUGGUGUCGCCUCCUUUUCUUCUCCUCGUCGCGUCAGAUGAGGAGAAGAACGUGGUCUUCUCCUCAUUUGCGACGUUCGGCGAAGACGUCAAAGGUCGCAAACGUCUCCUACUUUUGGCGAAGAAUGCGGUAAAGGCCGCAGGCAUCUCUAGCCUUCGAUGAAGAACGCGACGAAGAAGUCGAGCCGCCACCUCUCUGUUACCUCCUGGGUCGGGAUUGUCGAGGGAGGGCGAGGUCAGAUCGAGAAGCAUCGUGGUUCUCCUAAUUCUCCCUCUUCUCCCUUGACGCUUCUUCUUCCCUCGCCGUAGCUAGGCUGAUACCGCCUAGUAGCGGGCGACAUUGGUCAAUUACCGACUUGUUUUGAGCAGUAAUGGUUGAAAUAUCGAUCGUUACCACCCGAUACAGCCCCAUAUCAUCCGAUACAAGGCUAGAUCAACGGUACCACCUGGUACGGGCGGAAUCAUUUAGUAUUGAAAUCCUUGAGUACAACUAUAAUUUAGUACAAGAUCAUACCACAACAUACUGCUCGGUACGAGCGGUAUGUACCAAUCUGACACACUUGGUAUGGCUUAGUAUAGCUCGUUAUGUACCAUACCAAUAGUUGGUCGGUACAUCAGUAUGAACCGGUAAGACGAACUAUGAUUUAGUAUGGUAUAGUUUUAGUGCGUGGUAUGAAGUUUAUAAAUAGUAUGCUUCUUGUAGCAUAUAGUAAAUAUCUGCUAUUACAUUUCGUAGCCUUCUGAAUAUUAUGAACCACAUUAGCAAUACCAUGAGCAAUCACCUGUAUUGCCGUUCUAGUUGUGGCACUGUAACUUUUUUGUCUUCUAUAUAAAUCUUAUAAACUUCUAGUUUCUGCUCACGCUAUUAACUAAUGUGCUAUAUGGUAUGGGUUGACAUGAGCGCUUGUUCCAACUUGUUGGUAUUGCCUAUGCACCUUGUUGGUGUUUCAUAUGCACCUUGCACUUUUUCUACAUACUUCUCUGGUCAGGUAGUAGUUGGAAUUCGACCGUGAUCAUUAUGCCUCAUUUCUCUAUUGCAAGCUUUUCAAUCAGUGUUAGUUAGAUCUAGUUUUUAUUAAUUCAAAGAAAGAUACACGUCAUUGUAGGUUAGGAAAGGACCAUGCUGCUGUCCAUAC